CUGUAUUGACCCUACUAUAUUCUUCAACGUUGCUAUAUUAUAUGAGAGGUAGCACAACUAUAUAAGUGCAUGAUUAAAAUUUACAAAGUCUGACAUGUUUUGGAGGCGGCUAAUGCCAAAGUCUGACAUGUUUGGUCGUGACUAGCGACUCUUAAUGAUUCGAGGGCAGGUAGGCUUUCGUGGUUCAGUUUCUGGGGUCUCGAUUUCUUAGAUUCCUGAUCGUUUGCAGACUACUUGCAGAGCUGGAGCUUGAAGCGCUGAGCCUUUACCUGUGCGCGGACCAAACCAUAGGAUUUGUUCAUGCACGGGAGAGGAAUCAAGAUCUGCGCCUCCUAGACAUCGCGGAUUGUGUCCGCAAGGCCGUGGAGUUUACGGUCCACUGGGGCGCAGCAGUGGCUCUCGCCAUUGCGCACCUAAACUUUGGUGGUAACCUCCAUGAUGCCAUUGGUCUCCCUUAUGGAUCGACGACAGCGGACUUAGACCUUCUAAAUGCACACACGUCACACGACAUGAGUUGGAGAGUAUUAUGGGUAAUUUGGGUACUAAAAUUAAUACAUGAACUACUAGAAUUAAAUUUGGGUAUCUAGAGUUACUAUGUGAAAUUAUUACUCUAUCCUCAUUGAUACGACAACAGCUAUACAUGUCAUGUCACUACUCUCUACGUAAAUGAAUUUUUAUUCCAUAUCUUCUUUUAUUUUCUCUCUCUCUCUUUUAUGAUCAAGCUCAUAAAUCGUCUCGUAUUAUAAAUCGCCUCGUAUUAUAAAGAGACAUUUGUUACC
rnacentral:lncRNA from 7 species